AGAGCGAACGCUGGCGGCAGGCCUAAUACAUGCAAGUCGAGCGCUCGUAGCAAUACGGGAGCGGCAGACGGGUGAGUAACACGUGGGAACGUACCCUUUGGUUCGGAACAACACAGGGAAACUUGUGCUAAUACCGGAUAAGCCCGUUACGGGGAAAGAUUUAUCGCCGAAGGAUCGGCCCGCGUCUGAUUAGCUUGUUGGUGAGGUAACGGCUCACCAAGGCGACGAUCAGUAGCUGGUCUGAGAGGAUGAUCAGCCACACGUGGACUAGAGACCGACGGCCCAGACCUCCGUACGGGAGCAGAC
rnacentral:rRNA from 1 species